rnacentral:rRNA from 1 species
UACGGAGGAUCCGAGCGUUAUCCGGAUUUAUUGGGUUUAAAGGGUGCGUAGGCGGAAUAAUAAGUCAGUUGUGAAAGUUUGCGGCUCAACCGUAAAAUUGCAGUUGAUACUGUAUGUCUUGAGUGUACAAGAGGUGGGCGGAAUUCGUGGUGUAGCGGUGAAAUGCUUAGAUAUCACGAAGAACUCCGAUUGCGAAGGCAGCUUACCGGGGUACAACUGACGCUGAUGCACGAAAGUGUGGGUAUCAAAC